UUUUUUUUUUUUUUUUGGUUUUUAUUAUUUUAUUAUUUUUGGUAAAUACAACAAACCCAAAGGUUAAGAGAUACAAGCAGUCGAAACUACAUAAAACGAAUGAAAGCAUGAUACAAUCAAAACAAGGCAGUCCCAAGACAAGUAUAUGUGCUGCCAAAAAAGAAACUUGGAGAUAGAUGGGGAAAGACAGCAGACCCAGCCCCCUUGAACAUGAGAAAUCUUUUGCCAAUCUUCGUCGAUUUCGCACUAGAUUCCCCUCUUCAAUUGAGGACAAUGCUCUAUUUUAACUUCGAGUGGAUGCAUCCCUUCUGGUAGAGAAACCAAUUUUGGACACUCACUAAGGUGAAGUAUUCUAAGGGAUGUGAAACUUGUCAACCACUCAGGUAAUGCAUCCAAGUUUUCACAAUCCCAAAUACACAAGACUCGUAGGGUGUUAGCAGCUCCCUGCAACCAUUCGGGCAAUGCCACCAUCCUUGGUGCUGCCGCAAUAGAAAAUCUUCGGAGCCUCAAUGGAAUUAGUUGAUAGUUUCCGUUCUCCAAAUCAAGCUGCUCACAAUUCCAUAUCAAUAGAGUGUGUAAUGUAGCAAGAUAACUCAUAUCACGUGGCAAAGAGGUUAGAUUACCACAAUGCCAAAUAGAAAGAUACCGAAGUGAUAUCUUCCUCUUCCUGCCGAGUCUUCGUUCAGGCUUUUUGUCGAACAGUUGGCGUGCGAGUCCGACCCCGACGACCCCAGCUCCAAGAGGUCGCAUAUGGGAGCUUCAAGGUUGUUUCCAUGGUUUCCAAGGGGUCGUGCGACCCCGACGACCCCACUGUGGAUCCGCCACCAGUGAAGAAAAUGAGAAGUAAUUGGAUGAAAGGUCGGAGCCCUUGCGGCUGCCCUGCCAACGAUUGACGAGGCUUGCGCCCGCGUUAAGUGCAGCAUACGACAAGGGGGCUCUCCUACGUGAAGCCCACCAAAGCCAAAUGGCUCAGAUUUGAUACAUUUACAGCGGUAGGAUUUCCAACGAUUUGUUGAUUAGGACAGUUAAAAAAAUUGAAAAUUUUGAUGCUGCACCAUAUGCGUUUUGUGGAGCCUCUGAUUUUAAAAAUUGAAAAAUUCAACGGCCAUAAUUAAUUCAAUUCUAAAAAAAAUAUAUAUAUUUUAAAAAAUUCAAAAAACUUACAAAAAUUCACAAUUAAAAAUCUUACAAAGUUUAGUACACUUUCAAAUUAAACAAAAAUUUACGCAAUAAUGACAUGUGGAGGAUAAGACGAAGAGAAAAUUAGAAAAAAAUAAUAUAUAUUUGUGAAUAGUAAUCGUUCUUAUCCGUGCUCCUUCCAAAUGGGUGAACUUGUACAAAGAGAAUAACUUAUUACCUACCCACCCAUUGUGGGUAGGGUGUGCCCUUUGAGUCUAGUACCUAUUCAUUUUUAACAAUUAUUUGAGUGAAAAAAAAAAAAAAAAAAAAAAAAAAAAACCUCUCUAUACUUGUAUAAUAACAUAAAAUCUCCCGUGGAGUACAAAAUCCGUUAGCACCAAUUCAUAAUCUUCCACGUGUGUACAUAAACAAAUUAAUGAAAUUCGUAAAUCUUUUAGGGCCAUAUUCAUUUCUUUACUUCAUCCAAUUGAUCUGAUGAUAUUUCUUAUCUUAAAAUUUGGCGAGGUUUCAACUUUAAAUCCCAUCACGUCGUAAUAUAUAAAAGAAAAUAAAUAGAGCUUCAGUCCUAACAGCACAUGCCUAUUUACAAGUGAUUCAAUCAUACUCCAAUGUGAAUUGGCACGUAGAAAAAAAUUUACACAUAAUAGUGCAUUAUUGGAUUAAGACGCCACACUACAGUAUACCCAGUUUAUGUAAGUUUUUCUAGUGUAGGUGAGCAAAUAUAAGUUCAUAUCAUAGCAUACCCACGAGAGGACUGAUUUUGACCUACCUGUUUUUCUUUCUAUUCAUUGUAUGAAAGAGUUAAAAAAAUCAUGAAAUGAAUCAACAGUGAAGGGCUGGAGGUAAAAAGGGGAGUGCGAAAAUUAUUAUAUUACCCAAAAACGAAAAAAAGGGAAAUAGUUUUCUUUAUCGGUGCAAAAACAUUUAACCUAAUAUAAGCAAUUUUUAAAGAAUAAUGGCUCGUUUAAAAGUGCUUUUAAAACUGUUUUUUUUUGUGAAAUUGAUUAUGGGUUCCAAUUGCACUUUAAGUGCUUUUUGGAAAGAGCACAUAUACUUCUUGCAGAAAAUACUUUAAGAGUUUUUUACAGGAUCCUCUUGGAUUUUUACUAGGGAUUGAUUUAAAAACAUUUUCAUAAAAAAUGUUUUCAGUCAUUUUAAAAGCACUUCCAAACGAGCCAUAAUUGAGUAAUAUCUCCACAAGAAAGUACUUUACGAUUGCGAGGACCUUGUUCAGUGUUGUUAACAACGUCAUGAAUACAAUCACUAUCUCGACAGUUAGAUAAUAAUUGUAUUAAAUACAUAUAUUAAUAUAAAUUAUAUUUGACUGUUAGAUGAUGAUUAUUGUAAAUACAUGCGAGUAUAGUCAAUUCCACAAAGUGGAAGAUAAUAAUCAUAAUACACGACCUUUAUGUUAUAAACUCAUCAAUGUCGUCCUUCACCACAUUCAUUGACAUGCUUAUUUAUGUCGUCCUUGUAAUCUCAAUCCGUCACAGUUUCCAAUAAUUUGUUAACACAAAAUAUAAGAACAAUAAUUAAUUUUUAAUAACUUUUUUAAUACAAGCGAAUUACUCGAAUCUAGUCUAAGGAGAGGGGAGACGGUUUUUAUUGCGAGACGGGUGAAUUAAUCACUAGAGCAAUUCAUCAUUAAUAAAAAAAAAUAUUUUAGAUUCAAACAUCUUUAUCAAAUAAGCAAAAAUAAAUUACUUUUUUUUUUUUUUGUAAAGCUGGAAUUCGUCGCCAGGGCAACGUCAAAAGAACAGAAAGCCAAAUUGAAGGCGAACAAACAGACAGACAUAACAGAAAGAAGGAAAGAGAAGUAGAAAGACACUGCUACACAUAGCCCUCACACUUUCUCUCUCACUUCCAUCAAUUGGCAUACAUGAAAACCCAUUCUUGUUCAAGAUCUUUACAUACGAUGGGGGUCUAACAACCGAAGCAAAAUCACUCCUCUCCGAUCCUUGAUCGAACGCAACAUAAUAUGCCGCUUCAUUAGAUGCCCGAUGAACCGAGGACCAGCUGCAUGCUUGAACGACUCCCACAUGUGGACAAUUAAAUUGGCAAAAAUAAAACCACAAUGACAAUAGUUGAAAUCGAGAUAGAAAACACUUACCGAAAUUCCAUUUAAGCUAAUUAAUAUGCAGACGACAUUUUAGCAUUUUGGCAUCCUUUUUUCCUUCCCUUUCUUGGUCCAAAGAAAAGUACGAAAAAGAGAUGCCAAAUGACUAAAUGGUGUCUACAGUUGUUGAACACAAGACAUGACUUCUAAAUAGCUAUAAAUACUAUACUUAUAAAAUAGUUUUUGACUUAACAUUUAACUGGAGUAUAAAUUCUAUUUAUACGUUAGUAGAGAGCCGUGUUUUUACUCGUUUCCGAUGUGGGAUUAACUAUUCUUAUAGGGUUGUUACAUCAUGAACAUCCUCUUUGAUGUGAGACUAACUAUUCUUAUACAGUUGAUUGCUGCUGUAUACUAGGUUGGGGUUAUGGGGUUCUUUCAAUAGGUUAGGGGUUGCAAUAGGUUAGGGUGUGCCAUGUCAACCUAAUACUUAUCAAUUUUUAACUGUUAUCUGGUGUCUGGUGAGUCCUUCUAGUACAAGAUUCAUUAGUCACUAAUUCACAAUUAUUCACGAGUGUGCGUAAGCAAACUAAUGAAUCCGUUAACAUUUUAGAGACAUUAAUUUCUUUUUGCAACCAAGUGAUUCGAUCAUAUUUCUCGUCUUAGAAUUUGAAGGGGUUAUAACUUUGAAUCUUAGAAUGUAAUAUAAAAGAAAAGCAAACGGAAUAUGUGCGCAUAUAGAAGUGGUCCAAUCAUACUCCACCGGUGAGCCAUUUACAUCCUCUCUCAAGCAUGGUUUAAAAUAUCUAUAUAAGUGGAAUAUUGAUAUGCAAAUUCAUUGAAAUAUCGAUGAAUUAUAUCAAUUAUUGCAUGUGUUUGAUAUCCCAGUAAAUAGGAUGAUGAGUUUCUGCUCAUUCGUUUUGAAUUUAAAACUCCCUCAUCUCUUAAAUUAUUGUAAUGUUUUCGGACCCUUCCCCUCCUUUAAUAAUAAUAAAUUAAAAAAUGUUGCCUCGAUAGAAAUUAUGAAAAUUUGCAAUGAAUAUGUAUACCAACUCAUUCAAAUUUAAUUGAAAUUAGAAAAACAAAUUCAAAAGUUCAAAAUAUGUAAUGGGUUCCGGUAAAUUUUUUUAUAGUGAAUCGGUAAGUAUCGUUGAUAUUCAUUGAUUUUCGUAUAUUUAGGGGGUGUAGUCAGACUGGGAAUUGAGAGAAUUUUUAGGGAACUUUAACGAAAAGCACCCGGUACUGUUCACUUUAAUGAAAAACCACAUUUUUACACGUCAAUCCUGGUACUAUUCACUUUACCCUUUAUUUUGUCCUUAUCAUUAAAACUCAAAGUUUUCAAGCCCUUUUAAUUAGUUUUCCUGAAUUUUUAUAGAUUUUGAUACGUGAUGGAUUUCAUAGGAUUAUAUAGACUUCUACAAAAUCCUAUAGAUUUUGGAAGAUUAGUAUAACAAAUUUCUAUGGAUUAUGAAAGAUUUUGUAGCGUUGAAUCUUAACCAUCAAAUAAAUCAAAUGGUAAUAUAUGCAUAUAGGUCAUAAAUCUAAUCAAAUAAAGCUGUUCAUGCUCUGCAUCUGCAUCCCUUGGAGCCGAAAAAAAAGAAGUCAAGAUUAUCACAUAAACCCAACUCCUCAAAGAUCCCCAGUGCACCCAUUUCCAAUCCUACUUCCUCCCUCACUUUAUUCUUAUAAUUUUCGUUGUCACAUUAUGUAUUCAGGUAUAUAAGGGCUUGAUUUAGUUAUCCAAGAGUAUUUUUAAUAUUUAUUAAUUAAACGAAUUCAUUCAUGGUACUCAAAAAAAAAAACAUAAAUAAGCAAACAUGCUCUCAACACAUGAACCAUGCCGCAAAAAUAGCAGCAAUUAGCAGGAGUGCCCAGCAGCAACGAAAACGUUGUAGACAUGACGAAAAAAUUGCAACCCAAGAACAAAAAAUUAAAGAAAAAAUCGCAUAAAAAUGAUGCAACCCAACAACAAAAAUUGAAGAAAAAAAAUUGCAAAAAUGAAGGAAGAAGAUAAAGCAAAGAAAGUGGCUGGCAGUGAGAAGAAGAGGGGUCGUUUAAAAGUGGAUCUGAAAUCCUAUGAUGUGAGGUAGGAUUCUAUUUAGUUUUAGUUAUAUACUUCUUCUUUUCAAAUCCCAUAAAAUCCACAAUUUAAUGAAAUCCUACAAAAUCUUUAAUUUUUAAAUACAUCUAGAUUUGGAUGGACUUUAAAAUUGACUUUUAAAAUCUCCAUUGACUACACCUAGAUUUACAUGGAUUCUAAAAAGGAAUUUUAACGAAAAAUACCCGGUACUGUUCAUUUAACAAAAAAUCACAUUUUUACACUAAAAAGUCAAUCAUGAUACUAUUCAUUUUACCAUUUAUUUUGUUCUUAUCAUUAAAACUCAAAGUUUUCAAACUAUUUUCAUUAGUUUUCAUUUCUAAGGGAACUUUAACGAAUCCAUUAAAAUUCAUUGGUUGAUUACACUAGGAUUUUAAAAUCUUGUCAAAUCUAAAUUUGACUACACCACCCCCUUAGUUGACAUAGGGUGAGGUUUGCAUUUCACCAUUGUUUCUAUAUCGAUUUUCAAUUUUUCGAAUAUUAACCAAAAGAUCAAUAAUUUUGUGGAUAUAUUAAACAAGUGGUCCCAAGCGACUCAAUCAUUCACACCCCAUCCAAUUAUCCAACUUUUCAUACCCAAAAAGGAAAAGGAAAAAGAAAAUACUAUAUAUGUAACAACGUGUGGUAAAUCCGUACAGUCCAGCACUCGGCCUCGACCUCCAUUGCCACCCACCCAUCCACCACAUUGUCUCCCGCCACGCAACGCCACGCCACAUCACCACCGCCCCACUUUCCAAUUUCCCCUUUUUUAUUUUUAAUUUAAUUAAAUAAAUCCAAAUAAAUAUUAUUUUCCUUAUUAAAUUUAAUUUUCAUUGGCAAAGAGCAAAAAGCAGCUCCACUGUAUCUCUCUCGUUCAAUAAUUACCGAGUUUACAACCGUAUCGGUUUCGGUUAAGGCCGCGUUUGGAUCUGAAGGAUUUAGGGUUUCGGACUUAAUGCUAUUGCUAUUCGGUCUGUACCAGAAUGUCUCAAGCUUCUUCCUCGCCUCGAAGCUCUGCAUAUCUCGACGCACUGACGCAAGAGAUCGAGAAGAAGCUCCAGCGGGUAUAUUAAACUCUUUGUUUCCCGUUUGGUUACUGAGAAAAUCUAGGAAAAUAAUUGAAUUAAUGAAUAAUUGAAUCAAAUUCCUGCCACAGUUGACUCUGAUUCAGUUAUUUGAAUUUAGUUGAGAUACGGGUAAUUAAUUGUUCGAUGUCAGAAUUCGUAAAUUAAUUAAAUUGUUGGAUAUCUGAAUUUGUAAAUUACUGUAAAAGUUUUUGAAUUUUUUUCAGAAUUUUCUUUCAUACGGAUUUUGCUCUGGUAAUUAUUAUGCAAAUGUUUGAUUUGGGAUUGUGAAUAGAAUGUUUGGAUUUGGAGAGCGUUUGAUUUAGGAUUUGGGAGUUUAUUAAUGUGAUUGCCAGCAUAAGAAAAGGAUUAGGGAAAUUCAGGCCUAACUUGGUAGAGGUUUCUGUGUGUUUAAUGUGUUGUAGGCGCUGGCUUCUCCGUCGCAGCGGCGGAAUUUGUUGCAGGAGUUGUUUGCUGACAUAGCUUUGGAGAUCGAUGAGCGAGCCAAAGGUGAGUGGAAAUUCUCCAUGGAGUUGUCUGUUUUCGGAAUUGACAUUCAAAUGUUUUCAGUGAUACUGCUGUAAGCCUGUAAUUGGUUAGCAUUUUAAAGUAUAGUUUUUACUUUUUAGAUAUGAUAUAACUACUAGCAGUGAUACUUAGGAUCGGCUGAAAAUGGUUUAUUUAGCAGGAUAGUACGUUCAAUCGAAAGAAUUAUGAGAAUACUAUAAGAGCACAGUUGCAUUGCGUUGCGUUACUACCUUGAUAAUGUAUGUCAAAUGAGUAUUUACUACCACAUACGCGUGGAACUAGAAGUGCUUCACAGGAACAUUGAUUAUUCAUUGAUUAAUUGCGGUCUAGUUUGUAUGUUGUGGAAAGUCGUUUACAAGUGUAAGGCGUUACAUGCAAUAUUUAUGACUGGUGUUCUAAUUUUUGGAAUUCACAUUGCAUGUCAGAAAUGAUUCUCAGCAGGGAAGAGGAUGCAAUUUCUCCUGCUGAGGAUGGCAUUGAAGGUCAGCUUUGCUUUUAUGAUGUGCUCACUGAUCACUAUGUUCGGGUGCCUGAGAAUGGAAAACGCAUCCUUGAUUUGAUUGUCCAACUUUGGAGCCAGUCAUUUGCAUCUCAUAUUUUUGCCUUGUUGUUCCACAAAUGGGUAUGUCAACGCACACCCAGUGUAUUGAUCUUUUCCUUUCUAUAUUAAAGUCACCAUUCUGGAUACAAAAUUCUCCUGGUUGGUGAUUUGUUUUGAGAAAAUCGUAUUGUUUCUGUUUACUUUUGGAGCUUUCACCUAUAAAUCACGUGGAUGAAGCAUAACGCUGUAAAUUGUAUUUGUUAAACUGGAAAAGUAUGUAGAAUGGCCUUGAAAAGUUGUCAAACUCAUUGAAAUUGAUUUGGAAGUUAUCAACAUUCUUUAUUACCAAGUUAUAUUUUAAAUGAUUGACACAGUUGGUCUUCAGACAUUCUAUGAAUGAAGUUUUUGUUCACAUACUUGAAGCUGAUUCUUACUUCUUAACUAUGUUGCCUUAGUUAAUCCACUGUGAUGCCGAGAGGAUUUAAUAUAGUUGUUUUGCCAGCUGUUUGAGGUUCAACUUGACAACUCUGAAGUACUUCUUCGUUACUCAUCUGCUCUUGUUGAAGGUGCAACAAAUGUUUUCUGGUACGAAUAUAAGUGCAUGCUUGUUGUUUUUUAAUGGUUGAUUGGAGUCAUUGGACUUACAAGUGGUUGUAGAUGGCUUUGCAGUAUUGUGACAUGUCUAUUGAUUUUGUAGUGCCUUUUAUUCACUUUUCAACGGGACUCCCAUAGUUGAAAUAAUAUGUAAAAACAGAAUCUCUUGUCUCGUGUCCUUGUAUAUUUAUGUAUGUUUUUGUUCCUCCAUAGUGUGAUGUUAGGUAGGUGUUGCUUGUUCUGUGAAAAUAAAUUACGUGUCUUCGAUUUCAAAAGCAGCAAAGAUAGAAAUGGACUUUUUUUUUUAAGGAACCUGGUAUGACAUGAAGAGUUUAAUGGUAUCUACCAAAGCUACUCUUGUGGACAUGUGGAAUGGUCUGUCUGCUUUGUUCCCAUUGCCCAACUUUUUUUUUCUUUGGGCUGCUGCUGCUACUAUCCAUAUGUGCUGACAAAAUGGCAACUUAGGGUUAUGAAUUAUGUUCCUUUUUUUAUUUGAAAUGGGAAUUCCCCCAUCCAAGGUUUCAUUUGUUUCUUUCUGUUCUGUCUAGGAAACUUAUUAAUGGUACUGUGUGCAAAUAUGCAGGAUUGAUACUCAAUCAAAUGCAAGGCGAUUCCAAUCCCUCUUUUGUGUAAGAGCCAUUUCACAGUUGAAAUUUAUAUGCUUCUGUUGAAGAACUUUAUGAAAUAUUUAUUUCAUUUUGUGUUUAACCCACCUUUUAUUUCAGUAUCUGCUUGAGGAUGUUGCUUUGGAGCCCAAACGGUUAAAUAAAAUUCCUGUACAGGUCAGAGAUUCCCUUUCCAAUUUGACAGGGAACUUUUUUACUCGGUGUGGAUAACUUCUAGCCAUGAUAGUGAUUAAACAACCAAUAUCUAUGUAGACACUUUUAAAUUAACUUUAGAAUUCUUCAUUAAUUCUCAGGUCCAGCGAGAUCUAUUUCUUUUACUCUCGAGGUUUAUAAUUUUUUAUAACUCAGGUGGGUUUUCUGGUAAUGCAUCUUCAGCCUUUGAAUUAAGAAAUUGUAAUUUGUCCAGUAAUGUGUUGAUUCAUGCAGUUGACAAGCUCGACAGCUUCUUAAGGGAAUUUCCUCAUUUUCCGAACGCUUUUUUGAUUGGUAGUUCAGCAGACUUCUUUGUUAUUGAACUAGCAGAUCAGGUCAAAUUUGCAACACUCUCCGCAGCAGAACUUUUGCUUAGUUUUGUUCACACACUGCAUUGAUAUUCAUAUAUUAACAAUCUAAUAUGUUCAUAUUUUCUUUACUGGUCAGCUUCAAAAACUGAAGGUGGAACCAGUAUUGCUGCAUUACCUUUCAUACAUAAAAGUUCUCCAGGGUAAUAUUCGAACCGUUUUUUUCAGGUUUAAGAUUUAAGGAAUUAUGUGAACCUGGAAUUACAGUCGCUUUGUGUUCUGCUUAAUGUAUUUCUAAUUUAAAAGGAAUGGAGCUGAGAAUGGCCACAAGCACAAGGUUAAAGGCUUGUCUGUAUAGCUUCACUUCUCCUGGAGGUCCAAUGUACCCUACAAGAGCUGUUCGUCAUGCGGCAUGGGAUGCAUUAGAUUUGCUUUUUCCUGUGAGUAUAUUAUUAUUACCUAUCACAAUUUUCUGGUUAAACUGGAUAAAUUUAGUGCAAUCGUACUGUUAUCAUCUUAGUUAUCCUAAAUAUUGUGCGUUAUAUAGAUUAUUUUAUUGCCAAGGGGAGAUCUUUAUUGAUAAUUUGAUGACUAACUCUGAGAUAGAAUAAUCUAUAGAGCCUUACAUGAUGCAUUUAGGCGUCAUCAUGGGUUGUCGUGGCUUCAGAUAGAUUAUACAUGCAUAUUCAAGGACUUACCAGUGUCUUCCCAUGACUCGAUUCUGAGCAUUCCGCCUUGUUUGCAUGUGUGGGAGCAUAACUCUGAGUCUAUGGUGCAGGUUGGCAGAUACCCGCGGCAUCUCAUAAGCCUGUUCUUCCGAUUGCUAUAUCCAUGGUACUGGCCCGCUUCUUGUUGGAAUUUCGUCAUGGAUUGCGUAAAGGCGGUAUUGUAUUCUCUGUUAGGAUUAAUCUACUCAAGUUUGGGGAAGCUGAGAAAGCCAAAGUUUUAAAAUGCUGCCAAUUUCGAAAGAUGUAGCCUGUAAAGUUAAAAAACUAAACCCCUAGGAACCGAAGCGCAAAGUUGUUUGUAGUGAAUUGUAUAUGUGAUUUUGUUCCCGUUUUGCCCUCUUUCGACGGAACCGAAAUUGUUUCUUCUUAAUUUUGAUUGCAAACACUACUUUGGUUCAUUGUUUGUUCCCCUUUUAGCCGUCGAUUACAUGUUCUCAAUAACUUGUUUUAUUUGCUUUUCCUUGGUGGAUCGUUUUAAUUGUUUUCAGAUUGCAUCUCUUAUUACGCAAAUGCAAAUCUAAGCUAAAAUUAAAGAAUAUUUAGGGGGGCUAAAACGUAUCCAAAAAAUUUCCUUGCCGGAAACUUUGUAGGCCUACACAUUCGGAAAAUGCUCCUGCAUGAAUUUCAACAAGUUUGUGGUAUGGCGAAUGGCUCGAGUUCGUGGGCAAUACGCCUGCUGGAGGUUGCAUUUGGUCGAACUUUUGGCAUCAACCUGAGGUUGUAUUUGGCCGAACUUUUGGCAUCGACUCGGGGUCAUGAAUGGCACGAGACUGAUCUACGGCUGUCUGAAUCUGGAGACUGAUCUACGGCUAUCAAGUUCAUUAUGUUUGGUACUGAAUAUAGGGCAUUGUCUCAUUGCCGAUACAAAACCAAACAGUUUGGCUUGGAUGCCAUUUACCAGUCCAAUCCUGCCUGAACCAGUAAGGCACCCGUAGUUCAGUCGGUGACUUAGGACCGGAACCAGCCAAACCGGCUCGUGCCACCCUUAGAUGAAUUAGCAGUGUUUCCCAACCCAUACGCCGCACUAGAAACAUACAUGGAUAGCUAGAUUAACAAGACUGGAUUGCGAAGGUAGGGUAUUAGCAAAGUUUUUGCCCGACUAGGGUAUUGUGUUUUCCUCUAAUACGAGAUAACCUUAUCUCUUGUUCCAUACUAUCACCGUGGAUCACAUAAUUAAUCACGUGAUGAGAGAGAUAGAGAUAGAUAACCUUCUCUCUAGCAUCCUAUUUCUACUCAACUAUCGAGACAAACGAAUCAAACAGCGAAAACACAAGUCAUCUCAGUUGAAACGUAGCUAUGUGAAUUCCAACAUCAAAACAUAAAGACGUACAUAAGUUCACAUAGCAGAAAGUAAAAAUUCUAAUCUCAGAAACUCAACAAGUUUAAUCCAGUCACUUGGGACGGAAAACCAGCCGUAUUCAAUAGUGUGCAUACGGAAAACCAACCAUGGAAAGAUAGAACCAUGCCCCAAUGCAAUCUACUGAUAUAGGCAACAAAAGGGUAAUAUUCACAAUCAAAGCAGCAACUAUCAACUCUGACCCAGAAUACAAUCAGAAUUAACAAUCACCCCCGCUGUCUUUACCCAGACACCGAAUAAAGACCGUCAAAAGGCAGGCAUAUCUGGAACUCCUUCCAGGACUAGGAAGCCUGAAGGCACCGCAGAUCUCUGAACAUCAUCGUUAUGACUUCAGUAACCAGUUCUACACCUAGAACCGGCUAGUUGCUUAGUCCAUACAAUUUCUCUAAACGCAUAAUGUCAGGAUCAAUGCCAAUUAAAUUAUCAUUUCUGGGUCAGGGGUAUAAGAGAACGCUACCAUAAAUUAGCAGGAAAUAUAACCAGCUCAACUGCACCAAACACAAAGGACAAAACUUAAAUAAAUAACAAGAUUUCAAAGCCAAGGAAAACAGAGAUAUCUACCUCAUGCGAAGUACGCCAUUUUACAGGCAGUAGAACCAACCAAACUCAUUGCAGCAGUGUGUGAAUUCUCUAAGGCUCAAUCCUUUCACACGUUCUGCAGCCAGUUUUGUCUUUGUGUGCGGAGAAACAGAGACCAACUUGUUGAAAAGGGAUUGAAGAAGCUAAUGGAUGGGAGUUCAGUUCAAAGUACUGAAACUGUCUAUUAACCCACAUAUCUCAUACCCAUGUCUAAACAAACAUAAUAAGUGCCCAAACUACUUAAGCAAGAUUCUACAAGUUCUUCCUACGCAUGAUUUCUCUCUCAAGGAAAUUGGGUUUUGAUAGAAAUACAGAAAAUAUAUGAGGUUGUCAAAUCACCAAGCACCUAAUGAGCCAUAAAAGAUGUAAUAAAGCCAACACUUCAUACAGCUGAUUUCACUUUACUCUUGCAUUGAUUCUGCUGCUGCAUGGUACUUCUCUAGCUCGGCAUCAAGAUCUUCAGCGGAAACCUUUUGGUCCUUUUCACCACGGCCUCUUCCACUUCCGCGUCCACCACCGCCCCUUCUAGGACCACGGCCACCACGGCUGCCGCCACCACCACCUCCGCCACCACCACCGCCGCCACGUAUACGUCCAAAUGCACCACCCCUACUCUGUCCCCUGCUCAACAGCCACAACAAAUACACAAUCAGCUUCAGAUAAAUUAAAACAUGGCACAGAUAAUAAAUACGCACAUCCAACAAUAAUAGAAGCCGAGUCUUCCCAAUUGCUACAUCUCAUGACUCAAACACAUGUAUGAGACAAAACAUCAGCUAUAUUCGAAGGGGUAACUGAGGCAUGAUGGAACAUCAGUUUGAGUAUCAUACAAAUACAUUUUAAUCUAAAUAAAUAAGUAUCAAAGUCAUUAAUUCAAGAUUACUUAUUUGUUUAGAAGUUUCAGUUACAACAUGUUUAAAGAUUUUAAAGACUACAACUUCUAGGUUUUCCCUCUACAAUAAAACCAUAGACUCUACAUAUGGCCCGGAAAACAGCCCAUAAUAAACCCAAGCCAAUAAUGCAAAAUCGUAAUAGGCACAACAGCAUCCAGCAUUUGCAAAAACAAAACUUGCACCUUGAUGCAUUCUUAUUCCAGACAAAUGUUGGCUAGAAAGAUUAACUAAUGCCUAGAACAAAAGCCAAGAGCUUCUUAUAGCAAUCAAAAAUCAAAAUAACCUCUUAUUCCUUCAAGUCAUUUACUAAAAAGCGGAAAAAAAUGUAUAAGCACAAACAUCAAUGAGAGCUAAUUCUAAAGUGAAAUGUAUGGUACACAACAUACCCCAUGGGUAGUCCAUUCCGAUUUCCAAAAUUUCCAUUAGCAGCAGGGGGGAAAGCAGGUGGGGCUCCAGGUGUCCCAAUGUUUGUUCCUACAAUCUCAAUCUUCAUCGGCUUCCCAUCAAGCUGAACAUUGUUGUAUCUUUUAACAGCCGCCGCAGCAUCCGUUCGUCGUGAGAAAACUACGUCUGCCGUUCCCUAUGAAAAAGAGCUUUGUAUUAAACUACAGCAGGACACAAAGAAUUCUCCAGAAGGACCAACAAUGCAAAACUUGACAAGGUACCUUUGAUCUCCCGCUUCUGUCAUAAUGUACUCCAUAACGUUUCAGGUCACCAACCUCAGAAAACAAUUCCUGGCAUAAUAAUUUGACUUUAGAAAACACAAAUUGUAGCAACAAAUGUGGAUUCAAAGUCUCUGUUAUUUGCAAAGACUGUUCAAUAAAGGCAUUAAAGGGAUUUUCGAUGUUCCGCAGACUUAUCAACCGUAUCUUAAUUACAUGUGGAUUAGCCGAUUAGUUUAACAUUUAUUCGGCUAACAUAAAAACUCCAAUCUAAUAAAAUAAUUUAUAAGAAGAAUCCAAAUUCAAAACAUUUAGUUCUAAAUCCAAUAUCCAAAUACCCCUAAUUUUGAUUGAUCAUAAAUCACAAACGAAACCCCACCCUCUUAAGAAACAAGUCCAGCUUUUAUAUAGAAUUUUGAAAGAACAGGGAAAUUCACCUUAAUGUCCUCGUUGGAAACGCCAUAAUCGAGAUUGGAGAUGUAGAGCUUGGUUCCGGUUUCGAUAGCCGAUGCUCUCCCAGCUGGAGCCGCGUACGCCACCGCACCAAGAUCCCCAUACAUGUCGUGUUGCCACGCAGUCUCCGGCGCCUAAAUCCCCAAAAUUUAUUAUUAACUCAAUUCAAUUUCAACUGGAGAAAAGAUCAGAUCAGAGCCAAAGCCAGAGAUUUGCUUCUACCUUG
rnacentral:lncRNA from 1 species